UUGUGAAAAAUCUGAUCUGCCCAAUGUUAAUGGCCGCAGUAUUUUGACUGUGCUAAGGUAGCAAAAUAAUUAGUCUUUUGAUUGGGGACUGGAAUGAAUGAUUGGACGAGAAAAUAGCUGUCUUAAUUAAUUGAAAUUAAUAUUGAUGUGAGGAGGCAUAAGGGACGAUAAGACCCUAUUAAGUUUAAUUAUUUUGCUGGGGCGGUAAUGAUGAUUAUAGGUUUAAAUUACUGUAGGGAUAACAGCGUGAAAUUUUUGGAGAGAUCAUAUUGAUAAAAAGUUUUGCGACCUCGAUGUUGAAUUAAAUCUUUUUGGAGUAGGACUUUUAAAUUUUUACA
rnacentral:rRNA from 1 species